rnacentral:rRNA from 1 species
UACAGAGGUCCCGAGCGUUGUUCGGAUUUACUGGGCGUAAAGGGCGCGCAGGCGGUUCUGUUUGUCGAGUGUGAAAGCCCCGGGCUCAACCUGGGAACUGCGCUCGAAACGGCGGAACUAGAGUUCGGGAGAGGAGAGUGGAAUUCCCAGUGUAGAGGUGAAAUUCGUAGAUAUUGGGAAGAACACCGGUGGCGAAGGCGGCUCUCUGGACCGAUACUGACGCUGAGGCGCGAAAGCGUGGGGAGCAAACAGG